AUGCUCUGGUUUCUUUUCAUCCUGCGACUUAAUCUUUCGCCUUUUACUAAAGAUUACCGUGGAGAGGAACAUUACAAUGAGCCUAUGAAUAAUUUUUGGAAUCUUCACCUGUUGGUGGGGU
rnacentral:snRNA from 1 species